UCUCUAGAAAACAGCAUAAAUGCAUUCCAGUGAAGCCCAUAGAUAUUAAGCAAAAGCCUAGAUAAACUACAUACAGUAUAUGUAAGAAUAAAACAAGUGUACAAUCUAUGUCUCAACUGUGAUCAAAAUUAGGCUAACAGGUGAUUAGGCUAAGAUGCAGUCAGAUAAAAGGGAUGGCAAGCUACAGAGAUAUACUGUAGAUGUAGAUAUUCCAGUCCAUUAUCUCUGUUUUAGUCUCAAGCUCAUUAAAGCUUUUUUCCUUCUUCACAGGUAACAUGCAACUAUCCCUUUUGUACUAAUACAUUCACUUAUUUGCAUGGGAAUCCUGAAUCAUUAUGAUAUCCAAAGGACUCAAGCUUUUUUUACCCAGUCCAAAGAAUGAAGUCUGGAUCGGGAAGGAUCUUCUUCAUGGCAUAAACAGAAGAGUUGAUAAGAAUCCAGGGAGCGUCACAUAAGUAAUCACCCCAAGUUCCUGCACCGAUCACUGGCUGAGUGCCAGCCGAUGGGCACACCUUCAAGGGAUCUGAGGACUUUUGGUACUGUGGGUCAAGAUGGAGGUCUGAGAUAUGCCAGAAGGAACCUGCAUCAGCAGACAGAAAAUGCACCAAUAGAAUUGUUCAAUAUUUGCUUCA